rnacentral:rRNA from 1 species
CCCUUAGAUGUUCUGGGCUGCACGCGUGCUACAAUGGCGUUUCCAGCAAGUCUGCGAACCCGAGAGGGCCAGCGGAUCUUCGAAUUGGCGUCGUGAUCGGGACAGUCGAUUGCAAUUAUUUGACUCAAACGAGGAAUUCCUUGUAAUUGCGAUUCAUCAUAUCGCGCUGAAUACGUCCCUGCCCUUUGUACACACCGCCCGUCGCUCCUACCGAUUGAGCGAUCCGGUAAAUGUUUUGGAUUGGUGCCGGGGCGGCUAGCUGCCGGUCGCUACGAAAUUUUGUGAACCUUAUCGCUUAGAGGAAGGAAAAGUCGUAACA